rnacentral:rRNA from 1 species
AUUGAACGCUGGCGGCAUGCUCUACACAUGCAAGUCGAACGGUAACAGGCCGCAAGGUGCUGACGAGUGGCGCACGGGUGAGUAAUGCAUCGGAACGUGCCCGGUCGUGGGGGAUAACUACUCGAAAGAGUAGCUAAUACCGCAUACGAUCUAUGGAUGAAAGCGGGGGACCGUAAGGCCUCGCGCGAUUGGAGCGGCCGAUGUCAGAUUAGGUAGUUGGUGGGGUAAAGGCUCACCAAGCCAACGAUCUGUAGCUGGUCUGAGAGGACGACCAGCCACACUGGGACUGAGACACGGCCCAGACUCCUACGGGAGGCAGCAGUGGGGAAUUUUGGACAAUGGGCGCAAGCCUGAUCCAGCAAUGCCGCGUGAAGGAAGAAGGCCUUCGGGUUGUAAACUGCUUUUGUACGGAACGAAACGGCUCUGGUUAAUACCCGGGGCUAAUGACGGUACCGGAAGAAUAAGCACCGGCUAACUACGUG